rnacentral:lncRNA from 1 species
CUCCCUUUUGCCUCUUCUGGAUUUCAGGUAACAAAGCACCACAUUAGAUACUGAAGAUAGAAAUUUGCUUAAGAUAUGGUCUCAGCAUUCAACAGGCUGGUGUUCUGGUUGAGAAGGAGUACAUGGAUCUUUCUUUCUCCUACCCCUGGAGACUAGUUCAAGCGAUUCUCCUGCCUCAGCCUCUCAAGUAGCUGGGACUACAGUAUCCUGCAUAAAACUGCAUUAAAAACCAGUAACAUCAGACCCGGGAUGGGGACGGAAGGUCCAAAUCAGAACCUCCAUGGAAUGCAUCUCUACAUAUUUUCACAUCUGUUUUCAAGCAAGGAGCAAGACCAGCAAGAAAGUGAGGACUUCCUCUGAUGCACAAACCUGGGAUGUGCUGUGCAAAUCAGCUACCUGGGCUUCCCACCUGUGGAUGCUCACUGACCUGGGGCCGCACCAGGUGAUUUCAGGACUUCCUCAGAGAAAACCCAGGCAAGACACCAGCAACAGAGCUACCCUGAUAAUUAUUAAAUUAGCUCUAUGUGGAGAAGCCAUAUUUGAA